CGUAAUGCAUAGGAAUCUGCCUAGUAGUGGGGGAUAACUCGGAGAAAUCCGUGCUAAUACCGCAUAAGCCCUACGGGGGAAAACGGGGGAUCUUCGGACCUCGUGCUAUUAGAUGAGCCUAUGUUAGAUUAGCUUGUUGGUAAGGUAAUGGCUCACCAAGGCGACGAUCUAUAGCUGGUCUGAGAGGAUGAUCAGCCACACUGGGACUGAGACACGGCCCAG
rnacentral:rRNA from 1 species